rnacentral:lncRNA from 1 species
ACCCGGAGCCACGCGCGCACACGCACACACACAUCCGCUACCCUCUCGCUCACACAACACGCCGCCUUCGCACACUUGCACACCCAUACCACAGCGCGCACACAUUUCCAGCGUCCCGCUCUGCCUUUGGGGAGCCCAGACGGUGGAGAGGCUGCUGAAGGGCACUGCUUUUCUGAAUCGUGUGGUUCUCUCUCUGGCCCGGCAGGCCAGCUUUUCCGAGCCGGCGGGAGACCCAGGCCCAGGGCUCAGAUCCUCAAAGACCUGAAAGGGUUUUGGAGCAGGUGCCAAGUGUGAGUGCCUGCAGGCCUGACCCCCAAGGGCCCCUGCUGGGCCAGAACACAAGGCCAGUUCUGGACAGGGGCUUGUCAUAGACUGUCCAGCAGCAAAGUCAUUGACUGUGAUCACUGGAACUGACUCAAAGAGGCCCAGCUUAAAGAAAGAAAGGAGGAAAAAAACCCUGCUGGACGUUGGAUGUACAGCCAAACACCUGGGUUGGGAAUGCAGAAAACAGGCAUGGAAUGCCAGGAACGCAGCACCUGUGGCUAAGUUGUGGUCUCACAGGCAAAUACUUUUUAAGAAUCUGCUGCAUGCCAGGCCUGCGCUGUGCCACCGUGUUAAGAAGAAACCAAGUAGCCAUAGCCACAU